AACAAACGCNGGCGGCGUGUCUUAAGCAUGCAAGUCGAGCGGCAAGGGCAGCAAUGCCCCUAGAGCGGCGGACUGGUGAGUAACGCGUGGGUGAUCUACUUNGGGCAUGGGGAUAGCCAUUAGAAAUAGUGGGUAAUACCGAAUACGUUCGUUACCGUGAGGGUAACGAGGAAAGGCGCUACGGCGCCGGCCUGGGGAUGAGCUUGCGUCUGAUUAGCUAGUUGGUGAGGUAAUGGCUCACCAAGGCGAUGAUCGGUAGCCGGCCUGAGAGGGUGUACGGCCACACUGGGACUGAGAUACGGCCCAGACUCCUACGGGAGGCAGCAGCUAAGAAUAUUCCGCAAUGGACGAAAGUCUGACGGAGCGACGCCGCGUGGAUGAUGAAGGCCGAAAGGUUGUAAAGUCCCUUUGCUGGGGAAGAAUAAGCGUGGGAGGGAAUGCCCGCGUGAUGACAUGAACCGGCGAAUAAGCCCCGGCUAACUACGUGCCAGCAGCCGCGGUAACACGUAGGGGGCGAGCGUUGUUCGGAAUUACUGGGCGUAAAGGGCAUGUAGGCGGCUUUGUAAGCUUGGCGUGAAAUUCCACGGCUUAACCGUGGGAAUGCGUUGAGAACUGCGAGGCUUGAGUGACGGAGAGGGAGCUAGAAUUCCUGGUGUAGGGGUGGAAUCUGUAGAGAUCAGGAAGAAUACCAAUGGCGAAGGCAAGCUCCUGGCCGAUGACUGACGCUGAGGUGCGAAAGUGUGGGGAUCAAACAGGAUUAGAUACCCUGGUAGUCCACACUGUAAACGAUGUACACUAGGUGCUGGGGCGGAUGCUUCAGUGCCGUAGCUAACGUGAUAAGU
rnacentral:rRNA from 1 species